GACGAACGCUGGCGGCGUGCCUAACACAUGCAAGUCGAGCGGUAACAUAUCUUCGGAUAUGUCUACAGCGGCGGACGGGUGAGUAACACGUGGGCAACCUGCCCUAUAGUGGGGGAUAGCCAAUCGAAAGGUUGAAUAAUACCGCAUAACACUAUUUUACCGCAUGGUGAGAUAGUCAAAGGAGUGAAAACUCCGCUAAAGGAUGGGCCCGCGGUCCAUUAGCUAGUUGGUGAGGCAGAGGCUCACCAAGGCGACGAUGGAUAGCCGAUCUGAGAGGAUGAACGGCCACAUUGGAACUGAGAGACGGUCCAGACUCCUACGGGAGGCAGCAGUGGGGAAUAUUGCGCAAUGGGGGAAACCCUGACGCAGCAACGCCGCGUGGAGGAUGAAGGUUUUCGGAUUGUAAACUCCUGUCUUCGCUGACGAUAAUGACGGUAAGCGAGGAGGAAGCCACGGCUAACUACGUGCCAGCAGCCGCGGUAAUACGUAGGUGGCGAGCGUUGUCCGGAAUUACUGGGCGUAAAGGGUGCGCAGGCGGUUAAUUAAGUCAGAUGUGAAAUUCCGGAGCUUAACUUCGGAAUUGCAUUUGAAACUGGUUAGCUAGAGUGCAGGAGAGGAAAGCGGAAUUCCUAGUGUAGCGGUGAAAUGCGUAGAUAUUAGGAAGAACACCAGUGGCGAAGGCGGCUUUCUGGACUGUAACUGACGCUGAGGCACGAAAGCGUGGGGAGCAAACAGGAUUAGAUACCCUGGUAGUCCACGCUGUAAACGAUGAAUGCUAGGUGUGGGGGGUUUCGACACCCUCUGUGCCGCAGUUAACGCAAUAAGCAUUCCGCCUGGGGAGUACGGUCACAAGACUAAAACUCAAAGGAAUUGACGGGGGCCCGCACAAGCAGCGGAGCAUGUGGUUUAAUUCGAAGCAACGCGAAGAACCUUACCAGGGCUUGACAUCUACCUAAUCCUAUAGAGAUAUGGGAGUGCCCUUCGGGGAAAGGUAAGACAGGUGGUGCAUGGUUGUCGUCAGCUCGUGUCGUGAGAUGUUGGGUUAAGUCCCGCAACGAGCGCAACCCUUGUCAUUAGUUGCUAACACGCGAUGGUGAGCACUCUAAUGAGACUGCCGGGGAUAACUCGGAGGAAGGUGGGGAUGACGUCAAAUCAUCAUGCCCUUUAUGUCCUGGGCGACACACGUGCUACAAUGGCUACAACAAAGAGAAGCAAGCCCGCAAGGGGGAGCAAAUCACUAAAAGUAGUCCCAGUUCGGAUUGACGGCUGAAACUCGCCAUCAUGAAGCUGGAGUUGCUAGUAAUCGCGAAUCAGCAUGUCGCGGUGAAUACGUUCCCGGGCCUUGUACACACCGCCCGUCACACCAUGAGAGUCAGCAACACCCGAAGCCUGUGAGGAAACUCGAAAGAGGUCCAGCAGUCGAAGGUGGGGCGGAUGAUUGGGGUG
rnacentral:rRNA from 1 species